rnacentral:lncRNA from 1 species
AGGAGGAAAAUAUUCAUCUAUAUAUUAGAAACUAAAAACAUGCUAACAAUCUUGGAUAUCUUGUUUGAGACCAUAGCAUACAUUUAUUAUUGCCAAACCAUCAGCAUCUUAUAUAACUAUCUUAUACUAUAAAAAGAACAUAAAGAAGAACCCCCAAAGCAUGGCAUCAAGAACUCCAAGUAGGUUAAGUUAAAUUACAAUGGCUAACAAUGAAGAUGCAAUUUACAUAACUGAAGCAUUCUGCAGAAGCUGGUAGCCGAUAAAUUUAUGUACCAAACAUUGGAUACAACACAGUUAGCAAUAGCGUACCAACAUUAGAGCGCGAAAACACCCCAAGAAGCACCAAAUACAGCCAAGAGCCAACUUGACAUGGAGAUCCACUGCUUCCACUUCUCCACACAGCACAGAAAUAGGGGGGAAAAAACAAUUUUGAGGAAAUAAACAAAAUUACGGCGAAAAAACUACAAAUUUCAGAACUCAGGAAUUUUGCACCGCAUACUACAAUACAACCAACAAUGAGGGUGAAAAGAUGACAAAUUUAUGUUCUCUUGACCAAGACUUGUAAUCUAUUACCUGUUGUCUAUAAGAAAGAUGGAAAGAUGAAACCCACAUCAAAUUCGAUGAAAAUAGAAGAUGAGAACAGACAGAGUCGAAGAAGACGAAAACUCUCCCCGGCUCUUAAUCCCCAAUAUACAUNN